UACGUAGGGGGCAAGCGUUAUCCGGAUUUACUGGGUGUAAAGGGAGCGUAGACGGCCAGACAAGUCUGAAGUGAAAAUCCAGCGCUUAACGUUGGAAGUGCUUUGGAAACUGCCGGGCUAGAGUGCAGGAGGGGCAGGCGGAAUUCCUAGUGUAGCGGUGAAAUGCGUAGAUAUUAGGAGGAACACCAGUGGCGAAGGCGGCCUGCUGGACUGCAACUGACGUUGAGGCUCGAAGGCGAGGGGAGCAAACAGG
rnacentral:rRNA from 1 species